rnacentral:rRNA from 1 species
UACGUAGGGUCCGAGCGUUAAUCGGAAUUAUUGGGCGUAAAGAGUGCGCAGGCGGAUAUACAAGAUAGAUGUGAAAUCCUUGAGCUUAACUUGAGAACUGCAUAUAUGACUGUAAAUCUAGAGUGUGUCAGAGGGGGGUAGAAUUCCAUGUGUAGCAGUGAAAUGCGUAGAGAUGUGGAGGAAUACCGAUGGCGAAGGCAGCCCCCUGGGACGAUACUGACGCUGAGGCACGAAAGCGUGGGGAGCAAACAGG